rnacentral:rRNA from 1 species
AUUGAACGCUGGCGGCAUGCUUUACACAUGCAAGUCGAACGGUAACAGGCCUUCGGGUGCUGACGAGUGGCGCACGGGUGAGUAAUGCAUCGGAACGUACCCAGAGGUGGGGGAUAACGCAGCGAAAGCUGUGCUAAUACCGCAUGUGAUCUGAGGAUGAAAGCGGGGGACCGAGCAGCAAUGUUUGGCCUCGCGCCUUUGGAGCGGCCGAUGUCGGAUUAGCUAGUUGGUGGGGUAAAGGCCUACCAAGGCGACGAUCCGUAGCUGGUCUGAGAGGACGACCAGCCACACUGGGACUGAGACACGGCCCAGACUCCUACGGGAGGCAGCAGUGGGGAAUUUUGGACAAUGGGCGCAAGCCUGAACCAGCAAUGCCGCGUGCGGGAAGAAGGCCUUCGGGUUGUAAACCGCUUUUGGCAGGAACGAAACGGUGUCCGCUAAUACCGGGCGCUAAUGACGGUACCUGCAGAAUAAGCACCGGCUAACUACGUG